GGGCCCGCACAAGCGGUGGAGCAUGUGGUUUAAUUCGAUGAUACGCGAGGAACCUUACCAGGGCUUAAAUGUAGAGUGACAGGUCUAGAGAUAGAUUUUUCUUCGGACACUUUACAAGGUGCUGCAUGGUUGUCGUCAGCUCGUGCCGUGAGGUGUCAGGUUAAGUCCUAUAACGAGCGCAACCCCUGUUGUUAGUUGCCAGCGAGUAAUGUCGGGAACUCUAGCAAGACUGCCAGUGCAAACUGUGAGGAAGGUGGGGAUGACGUCAAAUCAUCACGGCCCUUACGUCCUGGCUACACACGUGCUACAAUGGUAGGUACAGAGAGCAGCCAAUGCGUGAGCAUGAGCGAA
rnacentral:rRNA from 1 species